UCCAGGGGUUUGAGUCUCUCCAGUCAGUCAGCCCAGGUGGCACGAGAGCAUGAUGGAGGCAUGCCGGGAGAAAAACUGCUCACAAACAAACCCGACAUGUAUAAUAACCUCAUGCUAACUGCUCUAUCAGUGACUCAACUUCCCCCGACAUGAUAUUUUAUCUUUAACACGAGAUACUUUGCUGCGUGUGGCCUCCAAAACUGUUUUUAGCCGCUAAGCUAGCUGCUAAUUCAAACAUCAGGCAAACAGCUGUCGAGGGGUUUUCUGGAUUCAUUUUUGGAAAGAAGCAAAAAGCAGAAGUCACAACUUUAUUAUGGAUUCAAGUGAGCGGUUCCCGCUGGUGGAUUUAAGGAACACAAGUGAUGGAGGAGCGGACGGACACCGGGACUCCACACUCUCCACAGAUCUGCAUGCAGAUGUCUCUUCAGUGACUGUUGCUGUUGAAACACUCUGAGUCGUCUUUGUGACUGAAGCCGCUGCCACCUGUGCCCCAACAAUGAACCCUCAGAUCUCCUCCUCGUACCUUCUCCAUAUAAUGUCUGGAUGUUAUCUGCAGACACUCUAGUGCACCUGUGUGGAAGCAUCUGCAUCCGAUGGCAGCUCUGUGCCGACGAGGUGUUGACUGCCAGAUAUAAAAAGAAAAUGAAGCAGGUUUCUUCAUGUUUGCACUCAUUAGACAAAUCUGUAGAAUCAAUACAGUCCCAUGUCGUCAGGAUGCCACUGUAUGUGUUCUGUAUGUGCACAGAUUCAAAACUGGUUGAUGGAAAUAACUGAUCUAAAUAUUGUUCUCAAUUUCAUUCAGUAAAAAAAAGCAAAUAAACUCAGUUUUA